GGAGUAGGCGAGGUGGUUGCUCCUUCUUCUCUUCAUGAGGAUGAAGGGGAGGAAAGUCCGAACUCCACAGGGCAGGAUGGUCGCUAACAGCGACUCCGAGCGAUCGGAGGAAAGUGCCACAGAAAACAUACCGCCCUAUAAGAAGGCAAUUUUGCCUGUUUUGCAGGGUAAGGGUGAAAAGGUGAGGUAAGAGCUCACCGUUCUGGUGGUGACAUCAGAAGCAUGGUAAACCCCAUCUGGAGCAAGACCAAAUUGGCCCCGUUUGAGACGGCCCGUCUACAGGGGCGGGUAGGUCGCUUAUCCCUUUGAGCAAUCAAGGGGUUAGAUAAAUAACCACCCCCGCCAAUGCCUUAGCGGGAACAGAAUUCGGCUUACGACCUACUCCAGCC
rnacentral:RNase_P_RNA from 1 species